rnacentral:rRNA from 1 species
GCCACCGUAAGGUGAGAGGAAGGUGGGAGUGACGUCAAAUCAGCACGGCCCUUACUGUCCAGGGCUACACACGUGUUACAAUGGCCGGCACAGAGGGCAGCUACCUGGUGACAGGAUGCUAAUCUCGAAAACCGGUCUCAGUUCGGAUCGAAGUCUGCAACUCGACUUCGUGAAGCUGGAUUCGCUAGUAAUCGCGCAUCAGCCAUGGCGCGGUGAAUACGUUCCCGGGCCUU